CAGUCGCCGCGGUAAAACGUAGGGUGCAAGCGUUAAUCGGAAUUACUGGGCGUAAAGGGCUCGCAGGCGGUUUCUUAAGUCUGAUGUGAAAGCCCCCGGCUCAACCGGGGAGGGUCAUUGGAAACUGGGAAACUUGAGUGCAGAAGAGGAGAGUGGAAUUCCACGUGUAGCGGUGAAAUGCGUAGAGAUGUGGAGGAACACCAGUGGCGAAGGCGACUCUCUGGUCUGUAACUGACGCUGAGGAGCGAAAGCGUGGGGAGCGAACAGGAUUAGAUACCCCAGUAGUCCCUGUCUCUUAUAC
rnacentral:rRNA from 1 species